ACCUUGUUAUGGUUUCCUCCAUUGACCGCAAUGCAAGCAUCAUUAUAUGACAUAGGUGGUUUGCAUAAUGUCAUAUAUACUGGAUAAAUGCUGUGAGAAAUAGUUCAAACUCCAAAGAGUUAGUUUCUUUGUACUUUGCCUAAGUUGAUUCGUUUCUUCCUUAGAAAAUGCCUUUGAAACCCUUAUCAAUAGGCUAAUCCAAAGCAUGCACUACAUUUUGCAUUUGCAAAAGCACUUCAUAUUGUAGUUGCAAAGUUGCAUUUAGGACUAGGGCAUUAAAGCACAAUUGCUAACAUUCAGUGACAGUUACACGUUUUGAAUAAAAAGUUCAUAUUAAAAUUUCUUUAAAGGCCACCAUCCUUGUUUCCUUUAUGAGGAUCAUUAAGUUCAUAACAUAAAAUCACAUCUAAGUUGCAGUUGCAUAUUGAAUUUAGGGACUUAGGGUCAUCAAAUCAAAAUAGAUAUCCAUUCAUGCAUUAUGAAUAAAAGUUCAUAAUUUAUUUCUGACAAAAAAGGGGACAUCAAUAGAGACAAUUGCUUGAGUCGCAAUUAUGGCAACAAUUAGCUUUCACAUUCAGUGACUAAGGUCAUUAUAUAAGUUAUCCAACAUUUCUUAGGCAUCACGACAUCCGAUCCCAUAAAAAAUUUAAGGGUUCGCUACUUAUCGAAGCAGAAGAUUAAAGGUUUUCGAAUAAUCAAGAAUGAUAAAAUCGGCAACCCAUCAUUGUUCCCAACAUGUAUCGAUUAUAAAUGAGGCAAAUAUGUUAGAAUGAAACUUCCAAUAAGCAGGAGAUGAAGAUUCUUGGGACAUAACACGUUUCCUCAAUUAAAGUUCAUAAUGUAAAAUCACUUCUAAAGCCACCAUCCAACUUUUUCAUUAUGACUAAAGAAUUCAUUUUCCUCAAGGGUCAUUGAGACAUUAAGUAAUUUAUCCAGCAUUUCUUGGCCAUCAAGACAUUCAAUCCUUACAAAAUUUGAAGCAGAAGAUUAAAAGUUUUGAGUUAAAGAGAGGUUUAGAAUGAGACAUACCUUUAUAGGUGAUUAUGUGAGGCUUAUAUAGUCGAGGACAUGAUAUUGGGCUUGGGCCAGCACUACAGUCCACUAGAACACAUAAUAUUUGAAUUCAUAUCCUACUACCAUAGCAUGAAUAUUCCAGCCAAGUCUCUCAUAAUGAAUAUAUAAAAGGAUGCCAUAUUAAUCAACUUCACCUUGUUUAAACAAACUAACCAAAUUAGAAAACAUAAAUAAUGAGAAUACCUCCAAAAACCAAAUUACAAGAAUUUUAAAUUGUUGGAGCUUAUCACUAUAUUGCGUUUUGGCUAUUAUCUCUUCCUCCUGUUGAAGAACUCCAUCAACUAC
rnacentral:lncRNA from 1 species